UUAAGUUCAGCGGGUAUCCCUACCUGAUCCGAGGUCAACCUGAAAAAAUAUGGGGGUUUUGGCAGGACGCUCGCCCGGACUCCAAAGCGAGAAGUAUUACUACGCUUGAAGCCAGACGGCACCGCCACUGAUUUUAAGGCGCACCCGGGGGUGACACCCAAUACCAAGCAGAGCUUGAGGGUUGUAAUGACGCUCGAACA
rnacentral:misc_RNA from 1 species